GGGCCAGUGGCGCAAUCGAUAACGCGUCUGACUACGGAUCAGAAGAUUUGUAGGUUCGACUCCUGCCUGGCUCG
rnacentral:tRNA from 1 species